rnacentral:rRNA from 1 species
CCUACGGGGGGCAGCAGUGAGGAAUAUUGGUCAAUGGGCGCGAGCCUGAACCAGCCAAGUCGCGUGAGGGAGGACGGCCCUACGGGUUGUAAACCUCUUUUGCCGGGGAGCAACGGGCGUCACGUGUGGCGCCACUGAGAGUACCCGGAGAAAAAGCAUCGGCAAACUCCGUGCCAGCAGCCGCGGUAAAACGGAGGAUGGGAGCGUUAUCCGGAUUGAUGGGGUUUAAAGGGGGCGUAGGCGGAUCGUUAAGUCAGGGGUCAAAUUGAGGGGCUCAACCCCUUCCCGCCAUUGAAACUGGCGUUCUUGAGUGGAAGAGAAGUAUGCGGAAUGCGUGGUGUAGCGGUGAAAUGCAUAGAUAUCACGCAGAACCCCGAUUGCGAAGGCAGCAUGCCGGCUUCCGACUGACGCUGAAGCACGAAAGCGUGGGGAUCGAACAGGAUUAGAUACCCCUGUAGUC